UACGUAGGUGACAAGCGUUGUCCGGAUUUACUGGGCGUAAAGAGCGCGCAGGCGGUCGAUCAAGUCGAGUGUGAAAGCCCCCGGCUCAACUGGGGAGGGUCAUUCGAUACUGAUCGACUCGAAGGCAGGAGAGGGUAGUGGAAUUCCCGGUGUAGUGGUGAAAUGCGUAGAUAUCGGGAGGAACACCAGUGGCGAAGGCGGCUACCUGGCCCACUCUUGACGCUGAGGCGCGAAAGCUAGGGGAGCAAACGGG
rnacentral:rRNA from 1 species